CUCCUCCUCCUCCUCCUCAUCCCUGGUCCUGGCACAGCCUCGAGAAAGAGCGGUCUAGGGAGCCUGGUCCGGGAGACCAAUCCUUGGUAUCGCCGCCCUCUGAAUGCACUCUCCGGAUGCUUCCCUAAAGGCUUCGGGAUGCAGAACCUGCCGCAAAUAAACCAGGCUUCUCCAUAUCGACGGUGGAAGCCUACAAGGUAGCCACGCUCGCCGCUUGCGCAGUGAGAGUCCGCGGCCUGCGUACCGCGCCAUUUGACGGGUGAGUGAUGCCCGCCAUCGGCUUGGUGGUGGGGCGAUGGGGAUCUGGCGACAGCAUUUGCAGGCUGAAGGGGUAAGUGCUUGGGUGCGAUGACCUAAUUGGGUUGACGCCAACUGAAGAACCCUGUGACAGUUAACUCUGGGUCACAUUUGGCGACUUAACCUCGCUCCAGUUAUCUGGAGUUAUCCUAGUGGAUGCGAGGUAUUGGCGUUGAACUCUUGGAUCCUGGCACGUGCUAGGUUAUCCCCGUCUAAGCUGUAGGCCUCAAACCAUUAAGACUUUUUUUUUUUCGGGAAGACCUUGUUCAGAAACUCAGCUUUGUUGCAUUCCGAUUGCAGAAGCUGCCAUUUUAAGCUUACCCUGAUACUAAAGCAAGUUAAUUGAGAACUUGUGUGUUGGGAGGGGGAGGGGUGCAGGCAGUAGGGUCAUGAAUUUUAGUUGGCGAUGUCUCUAGUAUACAAAGCUGUAACUUAGGUUCUUCUGUGAGCCAGGUGGUUUGUGGGUUUGAAGUCUUGUAACCCCUAUCCCUGCCUGUGGCCCUUAUCGAAGCUGCAGCUGCUUCUACAUAGCUGCUGUGGUCAAAAAGGAGGCCCAGAGAAAGUUUUCCUUGACGGUCGCGGUUCUGUUUACUGUAACUGAUCUGCAACAUUUUGGGAAAAGACAGCUCUGCCUUAAUUCUAUAGACGUAUCUAGAGGUCUUCAUUAACAUCAGCAUAAAUAAUACAGACAAACAAAAAUGUCUUGAAUGUGGAGUUGGUAGAAUAGGGCUUUUGGAAGUAGUUUGCUGAACCCAAGAUCAUACAAGGGCAGUUCCAGGUAUGUUCACCUGUUAGUACAAGCCAUGUCAUGGGUCACAUUCCCUGUAAGAGAAGGCCAGUUGACGAUCAGGUGCAAGGAACUAAAGAUAAGUGGGUAAUUAGCUUUUCCAGGUGAAGACUCCAUGAAGAUGGGCUGAGUAAGGAGACCAGAAGAUGUGACAGGUGAAAUGCAACAGUAGGGCCUGGUAAGUAUGGUGUUGAGAUCACCUGGUGGUAGACACAGCAUGUUUCCAAGGGCUAUGGCUGGUUGUGGCCAUGGGGUCUCCAACUGCAUGCCAGAGAAACUGGAGAGACUUUGACAGCCCAGGCCAGCACAGUGCCUGCAGCUGCCACUCGGCUUUCCUAUAUACGUUGUGCCUGGGGUGGAAGCUUUCUACCUGGGACACUGCAUUCCCUGAAUAUUCACAAAAGCUUUCCUUCUGCAGGUUACACCCAAGGCUCUUGGAAGUCUGAGAAGCCAGCCUGUCUGCCUCAGCUCAUUCACUAAGAGUCAUGUAACCAGUGAAGGGGCCAUCAUUUAUGAUUUGAUCUACAGUUGGUUGGAAAAAAUCAAAAGCAAGAGGACUGCCCUGGAAGCAAGCAGCCUCUACUUUAUUACUCAGCCAGGUUCUGCCAGCAGUGACGGCAUACAGAUCAAGGCUAGUCUGGUCUACAGAGCUAAUUCUAGAACAGACAUCAAAGGCUACACAGAGAAACCCUGUCUUAAAAAAUAAAGUGAAAUGCUUUGUGAUUUAACAUGUAAUUGGGUCAAUAAAGACUUUGGAAAGUG